UGGCCAUUGAUGAAGAAGUGAGGAAAUCAACCUAUCCUUGAAUCUUGGCAUCAGGUGACAUUGCAUCCUUGGACCCAUUGUACAUUGCUGCCGUGGGGCAAAUCUAGUUGCGUUUUGCUGGUAAAAAUAUUCCACAUACUUAUUGCCACAUUCCAUAUUCUAAAUAUGGAAUACACUCCAGGUGUUUCGAGUGUUUAUGUAUGCAUUUCUAGAAUCUAGAACCUUAAACCGCCCUGCUGAUGCCGAGAACAAAAUUUUUGUACAACAACUUUUAAGUGAGCUUGGACUCCGAAAUUAAUCGUGAUAAAUACUUAGUUCAUAUAAAUUCAUGCAUGUUAAAGCGAGUAAUUUAUAAUAAUA
rnacentral:lncRNA from 1 species